GCUCUGGGGACCUUGAGGAAGUCAAGAAAACCAUAAGACACACCAAAAUAGACAGCAGCUACCACAGCCCUGACCCCAGGCCCAGAUGCAUGUGGGCUCUCUUUCGAUUCCCCAGAGAGAGGAACAGUAGUGACGCCAAGCCCACUGACUCCCGAGGAGCUCAACUCCUUCUGCAAACGCUUUGAGGAGCAGCAACCAAAGGAAAUCUAUACUUCUUUGAAAAUCUCAUUCAAAGUCAGAAGAUAAUCAAGUUUUGACUCAACACACAAUGAAGAUUUUGUGCUUAGUUCUUGGACUGCUGCUGCUGACUAUGUACUCUGGAGCAACUGCUGGGAUUAGCUCAAUGAGAUCAAACAAAAACUGCUGCAAUGAUUUCAAAGUAAAACCUAUUAACAAGAAAAAUAUUGCCUCCAUCAAUAAAAUUCCGUUGUACUGUAAGCAAUAUGGAUUCAAAGUAAAAUAUCCAAACGGAAAAGGAAUUUGCUACCAUCAGGAUGACAAAUGGGCUCAGAGGAUAUACAAGCAAUUCAACCAUGCCAACUGAAGAUCCUUUUGAAGAAACAAUGGGAAAGAGCAAAAACAAAAGCAACAGCUAUCAAUAUUGUUGAGAUCUUUUGCAUUAUUGCAACAGCUGCAUUACAACUAUUAACAUAAUUAUUUUCCAUGCAAUGCUAAAUCCAAGUCAAAAAUUGAUCUAAAAUUGCUUGGUUUGACCAAUUUUCAAAUUUCCCUAAAUAAAUGAGAGAUUAAAAUUGAA